GUUGAACGCUGGCGGCAGGCCUAACACAUGCAAGUCGAGCGGAUGAAGGGAGCUUGCUCCUGGAUUCAGCGGCGGACGGGUGAGCAAUGCCUAGGAAUCUGCCUGGUAGUGGGGGAUAACGUCCGGAAACGGGCGCUAAUACCGCAUACGUCCUGAGGGAGAAAGUGGGGGAUCUUCGGACCUCACGCUAUCAGAUGAGCCUAGGUCGGAUUAGCUAGUUGGUGGGGUAAAGGCCUACCAAGGCGACGAUCCGUAACUGGUCUGAGAGGAUGAUCAGUCACACUGGAACUGAGACACGGUCCAGACUCCUACGGGAGGCAGCAGUGGGGAAUAUUGGACAAUGGGCGAAAGCCUGAUCCAGCCAUGCCGCGUGUGUGAAGAAGGUCUUCGGAUUGUAAAGCACUUUAAGUUGGGAGGAAGGGCAGUAAGUUAAUACCUUGCUGUUUUGACGUUACCAACAGAAUAAGCACCGGCUAACUUCGUG
rnacentral:rRNA from 1 species